rnacentral:rRNA from 1 species
GAUGAACGCUGGCGGCGUGCUUAAUACAUGCAAGUCGAACGGAAAGACCAUGCUCUUGCUGGGCGCUCGUGAGGCGCACGGGUGAGUAUAACGCGUGUAUAAUGUACUUGUCUUUGGGAUAUAUCUUGGAAAAUCGGGCUCAUAUAGCAUAGAAGCUACUGAUGCAUGGUGGUGGAUGGUAAGAUUCGGCGGUAUUGGAUGGUCUAGAGGCUUAUCCGCUUGUUGGUGGAGUAGUGGCUGACCAAGGCUUUGACGGGUAGCCGGCCUGAGAGGGUGACCGGCCACAAGGGGACUGAGGGACGGCCCAGACGGCUACGGGAGGCAGCGGGCGAGAAUAUGACAGAAUAGGCGGAAGCCAGAUGCAGAGACGCCGCGUGCGGAAUAACGGCCUUCGAGUUGUAAACCACUUUCGACGGAAACAAAGCGGGAUUGACGGUAACGAGUAAGGAAGCACCGGCUAACUACGUG